UACGUAGGGGGCAAGCGUUGUCCGGAUUUAUUGGGCGUAAAGAGCGUGUAGGCGGUUUGGUAGGUCCGCUGUGAAAACUCGAGGCUCAACCUCGAGACGCCGGUGGAAACCAUCAGACUAGAGUCCGGAAGAGGAGAGUGGAAUUCCUGGUGUAGCGGUGAAAUGCGCAGAUAUCAGGAAGAACACCCGUGGCUAAGGCGGCUCUCUAGUACGGUACUGACGCUGAGACGCGAAAGCGUGGGGGGCGAACAGG
rnacentral:rRNA from 1 species